rnacentral:rRNA from 1 species
GACGAACGCUGGCGGCGUGCUUAACACAUGCAAGUCGAACGGAAAGGCCCUGCUUUUGUGGGGUGCUCGAGUGGCGAACGGGUGAGUAACACGUGAGUAACCUGCCCCUGACUUUGGGAUAACUUCAGGAAACUGGGUCUAAUACCGGCUAGGAUCUCCUGCUGCAUGGUGGGGGUUGGAAAGUUUCGGCGGUUGGGGAUGGACUCGCGGCUUAUCAGCUUGUUGGGUGGGUAGUGGCUUACCAAGGCUUGGACGGGUAGCCGGCCUGGGAGGGUGACCGGACAAAUUGGGCCUGGAAUGAGGCACGGCCUAGUAUGGGAGGCAUGGGUGGGGAAGGUUGCAGUAGGGGCGGAAGGAUGGUGCAGCAAAGCCACGUGGGGGAUGAGGGGAUUGGGGUAGUAAACCGCUGUCGCCUGUGCCGAAGUGUGAGUGACGGUAAUGGGUAAAGAAGCACCGGCUAACUACGUG